rnacentral:rRNA from 1 species
AUUGAACGCUGGCGGCAGGCCUAACACAUGCAAGUCGAGCGGAUGAAGGGAGCUUGCUCCUGGAUUCAGCGGCGGACGGGUGAGUAAUGCCUAGGAAUCUGCCUGGUAGUGGGGGAUAACGUCCGGAAACGGGCGCUAAUACCGCAUACGUCCUGAGGGAGAAAGUGGGGGAUCUUCGGACCUCACGCUCUCAGAUGAGCCUAGGUCGGAUUAGCUAGUUGGUGGGGUAAAGGCCUACCAAGGCGACGAUCCGUAACUGGUCUGAGAGGAUGAUCAGUCACACUGGAACUGAGACACGGUCCAGACUACUAAGGGAGGGAGCAGUGGGGAAUAGUGGACAAUGGGCGAAAGCCUGAUCCAGCCAUGCCGCGUGUGUGAAGAAGGUCUUCGGAUUGUAAAGAACUUUAAGUUGGGAGGAAGGGCAGUAAGUUAAUACCUUGCUGUUUUGACGUUACCAACAGAAUAAGCACCGGCUAACUUCGUG